rnacentral:rRNA from 1 species
UACGAAGGGGGCUAGCGUUGCUCGGAAUCACUGGGCGUAAAGCGCACGUAGGCGGAUCGUUAAGUCAGGGGUGAAAUCCUGGAGCUCAACUCCAGAACUGCCUUUGAUACUGAGGAUCUUGAGUUCGGGAGAGGUGAGUGGAACUGCGAGUGUAGAGGUGAAAUUCGUAGAUAUUCGCAAGAACACCAGUGGCGAAGGCGGCUCACUGGCCCGAUACUGACGCUGAGGCACGAAAGCGUGGGGAGCAAACAGGG